UAGGGUGGUAUCUGCACUAAAUUUGUUUAGGAAGUAGAGUACAUGCUUUUUGGACAAAGAACACCAACGUUCCCAUGUUGUUCUUAUGAGAAUGUCAGGAGGGAGGAGUUAUUUCCACUUAUCAGUCAGGUUUUGAAGAUGGAAGGUAGUUAUCUGUGAUUUUUCCCACCAGAAUGCCAUAUAUUGCUCAGAAUGUGGAAAUGAAGCAUGCUGAAAACAGAGUGGCUUGUGACAGGCUUGUAGAAAGUAGUAUGGAUUGAGAAGAAUUAGAGAAGAGCAUGGUACUGGAGAGCUAUCAAGGUACAAGACUUGCUUGAAGAAAACUGGACGUGCUAAUACUUUAGUUUCAGAGGUGACAAGAUUUGAUGGAAAGAAGUUAGACAUUGUAGACAGCAUUGGUGAUCGUUUGGAUGACAUAAACGAAGCAUGCGAUUGCAGUGUCAGUCGUUCAUUUGGAUGGAAAUAGUUCAAAGUUUUGGUGCUGCAAUUGCAGCUGCAAGAAUUUCUACAUCCUCGUUCAAAGGUUCCCACCAGAUCUUGCAAGGCCUUUGUAAAUUGAACAACAGGUCAUACCUUUCCACUCAAGAACAAGAGAGACUCAU